rnacentral:rRNA from 1 species
AGGGUGCGUAGGAGGGCAGGUAAGUCAGUGGUGAAAUCCCCGAGCUUAACUUGGGAACUGCCGUUGAUACUAUCUGUCUUGAAUAUUGUGGAGGUAAGCGGAAUAUGUCAUGUAGCGGUGAAAUGCUUAGAUAUGACAUAGAACACCAAUUGCGAAGGCAGCUUGCUACACAAUCAUUGACUCUGAUGCACGAAAGCGUGGGGAUCAAACAGGAUUAGAUACCCUGGUAGUCCACGCCCUAAACGAUGGAUACUCGACAUCAGCGAUACACUGUUGGUGUCUGAGCGAAAGCAUUAAGUAUCCCACCUGGGAAGUACGACCGCAAGGUUGAAACUCAAAGGAAUUGG